rnacentral:tRNA from 1 species
AUUUAUAUAGUUUAUAACAAAGUAAAACACCUUAUUUUCAAUAAGGAGAUAAGAAAUAUCUUUAUAAAUA